CCUACGGGAGGCAGCAGUAGGGAAUUUUCGUCAAUGGGCGCAAGCCUGAACGAGCAAUGCCGCGUGAACGAGGAAGGUCUUCGGAUCGUAAAGUUCUGUUGAAGGGGAAAAAGAGCGGAGAGAGGAAAUGAACUCCGAUUGAUAUUACCCUUCGAGGAAGUCACGGCUAACUACGUGCCAGCAGCCGCGGUAAUACGUAGGUGGCGGGCGUUAUCCGGAACGAUUGGGCGGAAAGGGUGCGUAGGCGGCCUGCUAAGUCUGGAGUGAAAGGUACCGGCUCAACCGGUACAGGCUCUGGAAACUGGCGGGCUAGAGAGCAGGAGAGGGCGGUGGAACUCCAUGUGUAGCGGUAAAAUGCGUAGAUAUAUGGAAGAACACCAGUGGCGAAGGCGGCCGCCUGGCCUGUUGACUGACGCUGAGGCACGAAAGCGUGGGGAGCAAAUAGGAUUAGAUACCCCAGUAGUC
rnacentral:rRNA from 1 species